rnacentral:rRNA from 1 species
GAUGAACGCUGGCGGGAGGCUUAAUACAUGCAAGUCGAACGGUAACAGGGGAGCUUGCUCCUGCUGACGAGUGGCGCACGGGUGAGUAACGCGUACGCAAUCUGCCGAUUGCCGGGGGAAAGUCACUGGAAACGGUGAAUAAUCCCGUAUGGUACCUAUGGGAUGCAUGUCCUAUGGGUCAAAGUUCCGGCGGCAAUUGAUGAGCGUGCGUCCGAUUAGCUUGUUGGGGGGGUAACGGCCCACCAAGGCGACGAUCGGUAGGGGGCGUGAGAGCGUGGUCCCCCACACGGGUACUGAGACACGGACCCGACUCCUACGGGAGGCAGCAGUAAGGAAUAUUGGACAAUGGGCGGAAGCCUGAUCCAGCCAUCCCGCGUGCAGGAUGAAGGCCCUCCGGGUCGUAAACUGCUUUUAUAGGGGAAGAAACCCUCGGAUUCAUCCGGGGCUGACGGUACCCUACGAAUAAGCACCGGCUAACUCCG